AAAGUCGUAACAAGGUUUCCGUAGGUGAACCUGCGGAAGGAUCAUUAACGAGCCAGCCUCCGCGAUUACCGCGGGAAGCCCGGCGGGCCGUCCGUAAUGCGGGCGCCUGUCCGUGGUGACCGCGUCUUCCGGGGGCUACAGCCUCCAACCGUGUCUACCUUUACCUGUUGCCUCGGCGGACCGCACCCCGGUGCGGCCGGCCUAACCCGCCGGCCAGCGUCCGCCAGAGGAAACCAAAACCUCAACCUUCAUGUGGAACGUCUGAGUAACUAUUGAAAAUAGUUUAAAACUUUCAACAACGGAUCUCUUGGUUCCA
rnacentral:misc_RNA from 1 species